rnacentral:rRNA from 1 species
GGAUUAGAUACCCUGGUAGUCCACGCCCUAAACUAUGUCAACUAGCCGUUGGGCUCGAUUCAGGGCUUAGUGGCGCAGCUAACGCGAUAAGUUGACCGCCUGGGGAGUACGGUCGCAAGAUUAAAACUCAAAGGAAUUGACGGGGGCCCGCACAAGCGGUGGAGCAUGUGGUUUAAUUCGAUGCAACGCGAAGAACCUUACCAGGCCUUGACAUCUAGUGAACUUUCCAGAGAUGGAUUGGUGCCUUCGGGAACGCUAUGACAGGUGCUGCAUGGCUGUCGUCAGCUCGUGUUG